UACCAUUCAUAAGUGCCUGCCACA
rnacentral:siRNA from 1 species